CCACCGAUUCUACCACCACUGAGCCUACCACCACUGAGACUACAACCACUGAGCCUACCACCACUGAGCCUACCACCACUGAGACUACCACCACCGAGGCAACCACCACCGCCCCCACUACAUUGUCGCCAUCUAUCUGCUCCUCGACUGCUAGCGUGGUUAAAGUCAGUUCAGGCACGGUGGCAGAGUAUAAUGUCAGAGUGAAUCCCUGCACAGCUUUGUGCAGCAGUGCAUAUUCUACUGGCUUUUGGUCCACUGCAAAGACAUACAGAGGUUGCUGUGGUAACAACAAAUGUUACUGCACUUUAACCACCGUUCUUUACUCGAGCAGUUGCACCCUGAUUAACUGAUGAGAUGAGAAGAAAAAUUGAAUGAAGUCGAAGAAAGACAUUUGCUGAGUGCUGCUUUGCUGAUAGAUUCGGAACUUAUAAAUUUGAUCAACAAGCCAAAUGGACAAACUGAAUAGACUUAGAGAGUUUCAUUUAAUUUAGUAUAUAGGACUCACUUAUUUUAUUGAACUUCCUGUUUUAAUGUAUUCCAAACUCUCUGUUUUCUUUUAGCAAGGAUCUGCCCAAAUUGAACAUCGCUUCCACUUCUUAUAUAAAUAGAUAAUACAAUUUAUA